AACGAACGCUGGCGGCAUGCCUAACACAUGCAAGCCGAACGCCUGUAGCAAUACAGGAGUGGCAGACGGGUGCAUAACACGUGGGAACCUACCCUAGGGUUCGGAAUAACCGCGGGAAACUGCGGCUAAUACCGGAUACGUCCUUCGGGAGAAAGAUUCAUCGCCCUUGGAGGGGCCCGCGUCGGAUUAGCUAGUUGGUGAGGUAACGGCUCACCAAGGCGACGAUCCGUAGCUGAUCUGAGAGGAUGAUCAGCCACACUGGAACUGAGACACGGUCCAGACUCCUACGGGAGGCAGCAGUGGGGAAUAUUGGACAAUGGGGGCAACCCUGAUCCAGCAAUGCCGCGUGGGUGAUGAAGGCCUUCGGGUUGUAAAGCCCUUUUGGCAGGGACGAUGAUGACGGUACCUGCAGAAUAAGCCCCGGCUAACUUCGUGCCAGCCGCCGCGGUAA
rnacentral:rRNA from 1 species